CCCAACUAUCCCUAUUAAUCAUUACAUCGAUCCUAGAAACCAACAAAAUAGAAUGCGAUGUCCUAUUUCAUUAUUCCAUGCUAAUGUAUUCAAGCGUUGGCCUGCUUUAAACACUCUAAUUUUUUCAAGGUAACAGUCCUAAUUCCCCACAACAUCAAAUGAAUGACAUCAUGGUUCCUUAGAAGGUGAGAACCGAUGGGACCAGUACAUACCGAUGGCAUGACCGAUCCAUCGAUCCCGAGGUUCAACUACGAGCUUUUUAACUGCAACAACUUUAAUAUACGCUAUUGGAGCUGGAAUUACCGCGGCUGCUGGCACCAGACUUGCCCUCCAA
rnacentral:misc_RNA from 1 species